rnacentral:lncRNA from 1 species
GAGAGUUGUCAUCAAAAGAUCUAAGUACUUCACCUUUAUUGGAUUCUUCUUUUUUUUCAAGCUCAAGAGUGGGAGAUUUCCUCGGCUGAACUGAUUCUGGUUUAUGACUUUCAGCUUGGAAGGCAAGACCUUCAACAGCUUGUCUUGCUGAUGCUAGACUUGGUGUUGCAGAAGUGUCUUCAGUUGCAAGACCAGAGGAUGAUUUUCCUUUUUCUUUCACCACAUUUUCAAGCUCUACCAACUUAUCUUCAAUUCUCUGAAUCCUUACAACAAGGUCAAUGAGUUUCCCAUCAAUUCUCAUUAACAAAUUCAGGAUUAUUUCAAUCGAAAUAUGGGAGGAAGUUGUCUCUGUCUGUGCAGGGAUGGAAUGCUCAUCCCUUGGAGCAAUUUUGAGGGUCUUGACAAACUUUUC